AGAAGACGUGAACAUGGAAGGAUAACAGUCACGUGACAGAGAAUAAAGGUGUGAGCAGAGGGAUGACAAGACACAGGUGAAACCGAUGAAGCAAUCAAGGGUAAAACACAGGAAGAAACCAGACAAGAAACCAAGGAACUUAACAAAAUAAGAUGUAAGAAAGUCGUGGUGAAAUGACAGAAUCAUGACAAUGGCACACCAAGUCAACUGUGAGCCCCUUCAAUGAGCAUCCGGGACCCUAGUAUCUGUGCACACGGACUUCAGAUUGGACUGUUUGGAUUUCCUGCUCAUCACUGCCAAACCUUUUUGUUAUCUUUAAGGGAGCGACGCCCGCAUCGUGCACCUGGCCAGCCGAGGAGGUUUAGGAGAUCAAGUUCGCCAAUGACACACGUGGUCAUGUCUGGCCAGUCGACUCCCACGAAUACAGCAAAAAGCAGACAUGCACAGGGUUCUGUCAGAAGGAGGAAAGGAGGUGUCGUCCAUUCUCUGCUUUAGAUUUUUACAUCUGACUGGAGUGCAACCACCACCAAGCCACUGAUUAAAGGGUCGUACUGUGGAGGCAGAUUUUAAAG